UACAGAGGUCCCAAGCGUUGUUCGGAUUCACUGGGCGUAAAGGGUGCGUAGGUGGUGAGGUAAGUCGGAUGUGAAAGCUCGGAGCUCAACUCCGAAAUGGCAUUGGAAACUACCUUGCUCGAGGGUUGGAGGGGGGACUGGAAUACUUGGUGUAGCAGUGAAAUGCGUAGAUAUCGGGAGGAACACCUGUGGCGAAAGCGGCGCACUGGACCAUAACUGACGCUGAGGCGCGAAAGCUAGGGGAGCAAACAGG
rnacentral:rRNA from 1 species